UACGUAGGGUGCAAGCGUUAUCCGGAAUUAUUGGGCGUAAAGAGCUCGUAGGCGGUUUGUCGCGUCUGCUGUGAAAACCGGAGGCUCAACCUCCGGCCUGCAGUGGGUACGGGCAAACUAGAGUGCGGUAGGGGAGAGUGGAAUUCCUGGUGUAGCGGUGAAAUGCGCAGAUAUCAGGAAGAACACCAAUGGCGAAGGCAGCUCUCUGGGACGGUACUGACGCUGAGACGCGAAAGCGUGGGGAGCGAACAGG
rnacentral:rRNA from 1 species